GCCACUGAGCUGAUGUCGUCUGCUAACUAACGCGCAUAUGUAGACACCAGCUAUUCAGUAAAUUAUGGAUUUGAUCUAUGUAUAAGAACAAUAUCACAUGUUUAGUUUGAAAUUAAUGGCUUCAAGUUGCGUUAAAACAAAUGGGCAAUCCACGCGCUAACUGCCGCGGGGUCUCCUCCUCCGAGCGCUAUCAGCCAAUGGCAGAAGCGCAGCGCCACACGCUUAGAGCGCCACCUAAAGGCAAUCAAGUGUCAGCUGAGGUGGCAAAUGUGAAAUCAAGACACCACUCUUAAAA